UUCUUUUAGUUUUAUAUUGAAAGUAUAUUCUGCCCUAUGAUUAUUUAAAUGGCUGCAGUAUUUUGACUGUGCAAAGGUAGCAUAAUAAUUAGUCAUUUAAUUGUUGACUUGUAUGAAUGGAUACAUGAGGAAUUAAUUGUAUAUGUUUUAAUAUUAAAAUUUUAUUUUUAAGUAAAAAAGCUUUAAUUAUUUUUCUGGGACGAUAAGACCCUAAAGAACUUUAUUAUAAUUUUUAUAUAUUAUUAAAAUUGAUUUAAUAAAUAAAAUUUAUUUUUUUAUUGGGGUGAUAAAUAAAAUUUAACUUUAUUUUGUAUAAUCAUUAAUUUAUGAUUUUUUUGAUCCAAAGUAAUUUUGAAAAUAAGAUUAAGUUACCUUAGGGAUAACAGCGUAAUUUUAAUGGGGAGUUCAUAUUUAUAUUAAAGUUUGCGACCUCGAUGUUGAAUUAAGAUAAUUUUAGGGGGUAGGUUUUCUAUAAUUAAGUCUGUUCGACUUUUAAAUUCUUGGUUAAAG
rnacentral:rRNA from 1 species